rnacentral:rRNA from 1 species
GAUGAACGCUAGCUACAGGCUUAACACAUGCAAGUCGAGGGGAAACGAUGAGAGAGCUUGCUCUCUUAGUCGUCGACCGGCGCACGGGUGAGUAACGCGUAUCCAACCUGCCUCUGACCAAGGGAUAACCCGUCGAAAGUCGGACUAAUACCUUAUGCAGUCGUCGGAAGUCAUCUGAUGACGACGAAAGAUUUCAUCGGUGAGAGAUGGGGAUGCGUCUGAUUAGCUUGUUGGCGGGGUAACGGCCCACCAAGGCCACGAUCAGUAGGGGUUCUGAGAGGAAGGUCCCCCACAUUGGAACUGAGACACGGUCCAAACUCCUACGGGAGGCAGCAGUGAGGAAUAUUGGUCAAUGGGCGUAAGCCUGAACCAGCCAAGUAGCGUGCAGGAUGACGGCCCUAUGGGUUGUAAACUGCUUUUAUGCGGGGAUAAAGUGAGGGACGUGUCCUUCAUUGCAGGUACCGCAUGAAUAAGGACCGGCUAAUUCCGUG